UAUGGCCAUAUCACAUUGAAACACUGGUUCUCACUCUAUCAUUUAAGUUAAGCAACGUUGAACCUGGUCAGUACCUAGAUGAGUGACUGCUCGGGAAUAUCAGGUGCUGUAAG